rnacentral:rRNA from 1 species
AAUCAACGCUGGCGGCGUGCCUCAGACAUGCAAGUCGAACGAUUAAAGCUCUCUUCGGAGAGUGUAUAGAGUGGCGCACGGGUGAGUAACACGUAAGUAAUCUACCCUCGAGUGGGGAAUAACGUCCGGAAACGGACGCUAAUACCGCAUAAUGCAGCGGCACCGCAAGGUGACAGUUGUUAAAGGAGAAAUUCGCUUGAGGAGGAGCUUGCGGCAGAUUAGCUUGUUGGUAAGGUAACGGCUUACCAAGGCUACGAUCUGUAACCGGUCUUAGAGGACGGUCGGUCACACUGACACUGAAUAACGGGUCAGACUCCUACGGGAGGCAGCAGUCGGGAAUUUUGGGCAAUGGGCGAAAGCCUGACCCAGCAACGCCGCGUGAAGGAUGAAGUAUUUCGGUAUGUAAACUUCGAAAGAAUAGGAAGAAUAAAUGACGGUACUAUUUAUAAGGUCCGGCUAACUACGUGCCAGCAGCCGCAGU